rnacentral:rRNA from 1 species
UUAAGUUAACAAGGGCGCAUGGUGAAUGCCUUGGCACUAGGAGCCGAUGAAGGACGGGACUAACACCGAUAUGCUUCGGGGAGCUGUACGUAAGCUAUGAUCCGGAGAUUUCCGAAUGGGGCAACCCAGCAGUUUUAAUCAACUGUUACCACUAGAUGAAUUCAUAGUCUAGUUGGAGGUAAACGCUGUGAACUGAAACAUCUCAUUAGCAGCAGGAAUAUAAAGAAAUUUCGAUUCCCUAAGUAGCGGCG